UGCCCAAGACUGCAAUCCAGGCAGCACAGGAAAAAGGGAAGACAUUUGCAGAAACUAAGGUAUUGAUUAUAAUAUUUAUCAAGAAUAGAGAAUCGUAUUAGUGUUUGCAACAAAAUGGGAUCCGAGGGCCCAACACCGGUAACCAUUCAUGUCACUGGCUCUAAAAAGUUUCAAGGUGUUCCUAAAAAUCCUACUGAGAGAUUUGUAACCAAUUUGAGAAGUUAUGUAGAAAUGAGAGGAUUGCCAGUUGGUGUCACAUUGGGUAGCUGCGUUGUUCUUGAAACUGCCGGAGAAGGAGAACUUCUAACACUAUGCAGCGUCAUAGAAUUGGGGACCAGUGCAACAAAUAGUUCAAGUGGUAGACAAGUCGUAUGGCCUCACCUGGGG